UCUGGUACAUGGCAAAGUUACGGGUCUAAAGGUAAACAGCCUACGAUCGCCGGACCGUAAACGCCGACAACGUAACCAUUACCUAUGACCGCCGAGCUGCCGAA
rnacentral:ncRNA from 1 species